CCAAUAGCGUAUAUUAAAGUUGUUGCAGUUAAAAAGCUCGUAGUUGAAUUUUGGGUCUGGCCGGGCGGUCCGCCCUCUGGGUGAGCACUGUUCCGACGUCGGGCCUAUCCUUCUGGUGAGUCGGCAUGUCCUUUAUUGGGUGUGUCGGGGAACCAGGACCAUUACCUUGAAAAAAUUAGAGUGUUCAAAGCAGGCGUAUGCUCGGAUACAUUAGCAUGGAAUAAUGAAAUAGGACGCGUGGUGCUAUUUUGUUGGUUUCUAGAACCGCCGUAAUGAUUAAUAGGGAUAGUUGGGGGCAUUAGUAUUCAAUUGUCAGAGGUGAAAUUCUUGGAUUUAUUGAAGACUAACUUCUGCGAAAGCAUUUGCCAAGGAUGUUUUCAUUAAUCAAGAACGAAGGUUAGGGGAUCGAAGACGAUCAGAUACCGUCGUAGUCUUAACCAUAAACUAUGCCGACUAGGAAUCGGGCGAUGUUAUUCUCAUGACUCGCCCGGCGCCUUAUG
rnacentral:rRNA from 1 species